rnacentral:rRNA from 1 species
AAGCAUAUCAAUAAGCGGAGGAAAAGAAACCAACAGGGAUUGCCCUAGUAACGGCGAGUGAAGCGGCAACAGCUCAAAUUUGAAAUCUGGCUUCGGCCCGAGUUGUAAUUUGCAGAGGAUGCUUCUGGCGCGGUGCCUUCCGAGUUCCCUGGAACGGGACGCCACAGAGGGUGAGAGCCCCGUAUGGUCGGACACCAAGCCUGUGUGAAGCUCCUUCGACGAGUCGAGUAGUUUGGGAAUGCUGCUCUAAAUGGGAGGUAAAUCUCUUCUAAAGCUAAAUACCGGCCAGAGACCGAUAGCGCACAAGUAGAGUGAUCGAAAGAUGAAAAGCACCUUGAAAAGGGGGUUAAAUAGUACGUGAAAUUGUUGAAAGGGAAGCACUUAUGACCAGACUUGGGCCGGGCGGCUCAUCAGGGGUUCUCCCCUGUGCACUCCGCCCGGCACAGGCCAGCAUCGGUUUUCGCGGGGGGAUAAGACCGGCGGGAACGUAGCACCCUCCGGGGUGUGUUAUA